CAAGAUGAGAAAAGUGCACCCUCUAACCGUGAGAAUAAAUUUCAGUGGAUUGAGAGAGACUGUGAAGGUCGUCCACUGCUGAAAAGAAAGAGCAGAAGCGGAAAAACGCGUAUGCGUUCUUCAGCUACAGUCCUGAAUCCUUGUGACCCAGCUAAGGAGGUACCCAACACUUACUUGACAGUGAGAUGCAGAAACUGCAGGAGAUUCUGGAAACAACUGUUGAAGCUUCAGAUGGUCCUCCUUCAACAUCAUCAUCAUGGAGCUUGCGACAGUCUGCAGACCAAGAUGAGGGGCAGAAAGCAAGGCCCUACCACCUGGACUGCUUGUUGUUCUCCCGGGUGGUCAAGGAAAAUAAAUGCAGUCAGUGCUCAUCUCCUGCCAUUAUUCGUCACAGAGACUGCAUGCCUGAAGAGUGGCUGUGUAUGGCGUGUGAUAUAAUUUGCCACAAAAAACUGGUACUCCAUAACAGGGAGUCCUGCAUUGAUGGAUUUUACCGGCCCAUUCCACCAACAGUGUGCUGUGUGAAAGAAAAUCGCAGAUGUACAUUAAAAAAUCAAGGUACUGCUCUGAUUAGUGUGUGUGUUGUAGUAUUUACAUUUGUCAAUCAGACAGUCCUUUAAGCUCUUUUCGAAAUUGUGCAAUUUCUUUUUAUUUCGGAUGUUGCCUACAGUGAGA